AUCAAUUAGUUGUGAAUGCGUGAUAGUCGACUUUUAACAAUGGAUCUCUAGGCUCCUGCAUCGAUGAAGAACGCAGUGAAGUGCGAAAAGUGAUGCGAUUUGCAUGCCCUGUGAGUCAUCGAAUCUUUGAACGCAUAUGGCACCCUCUGGCGCAUGCCUGGGGGUAUGCCUGUUUGAGAAUCAUUUAUGCCAUUCUGGCUGGUGCAUUUGUGCAUCGUCAGAGACAUGGGCCUUCACCGCUGAUCGCCCCGAAUGCAGCGUGCGCGUGUCGUGAUAGUCAUUGCUGAUCGACGUGCCGCACUGCCUAUACUUUGCCAGUGAUCUCAAAUCAGGCAGGACUACCCGCUGAACUUAA
rnacentral:sRNA from 1 species